rnacentral:lncRNA from 1 species
CAAAUCAGAUACAUAAAAUUAGAUAUACAUCAAUGACACGUAAAAUUAACCACAACAAAAUAGAAAAGGACAUGACAUGAACAAAAUAUGUUUAAAAGAGGAUAACACCCGUUCAACAAUAGAUACGUAUGUCUAUACAAUAUGUCAAGUCAGUAUCCUUAGCUUUAAUGUUAUUGCUCUGAGUGUUCCUGAUGAAAGUAAAUCAAUAAACGUGUUGCGGACGCAUGACAAUUAUAAAAAGUUGUUUUCAGUUUUUACAGAACUGGGUCAGUACGGCUGCUGGUGGUCUAUCAGUCUCUGCAUGUAUCAUCGGCUUAUUAAUCAGUAUUUAGGUAAUGACAAAGAAUUAAAAAAAAUCAUAUACCAC